GUGGCCAUUUUGAUUGGUGUUGGGUGUAUUUUCCAGUGAGAGACCGCGGAGUGUUGGGUCGUGUAGAAGUGACUGAACCCAGAAGGUGGAGACGAGACGUUGUCCCGACUGCACAGAGGCUGCUCUGCAGCUCCUUAAAGGCGCUAGGCGUGACCCGCACCAAGGCCGGGAUCGGGACCACCGUGCCCGGGUACCUGCAACUGCUCGCCCCCUCCUUUCUACCCCGCUUUCCCCACCCAGUCGGAUGGCGGCGGCCGCGCCGAGGCCCCCGGCUCAGGGCACUGUGACCUUUGAAGAUGUGGCUGUGAACUUUUCCCAGGAGGAAUGGAGUCUCCUUAGUGAGGCUCAGAGAUGCCUUUAUCAUGAUGUGAUGCUGGAGAACCUGACACUUAUAUCUUCUCUAGGUUGUUGGUAUGGAGCAAAAGACGAGACACCUUCUAAGCAGACCCUUUCUAUACAACAGGAGUCCCCACUCAGGACACAUUGGACAGGUGUAUGUACCAAGAAGGUCCACCUCUGGGGAAUGUGUGGCCCUCUCCUGGGAGGUAUCUUACACCAGGGAACACAACACAAUCAGAAAUUGAAUGGGUUUGGGGCAUAUGAAAACAAAUUGGAUGACGAUGCAAACCAUCAUCAAGACCAGAAGCAGCACAUUGGAGAGAAAUCGUACAGAAGCAAUGCCAAGGGAACAUCUUUUGUAAAGAACUGUAAAUUCCAUAUGUCACAUGAGCCAUUUAUCUUUCAUGAGGUUGGGAAAGACUUUUUGUCCAGCUUGAGAUUACUCCAACAAGAGGACAUUCACACUUCAGGGAAGUCAAACUUUGAAACUAAGCAUGGGAUACCCCUUCAGGGUGGAAAAACUCCUUACAUCUGUGGAGAGUCCACAAUACCCUUUAGCAACAAACACUCACUUGUCCUUCACCAGAGACUUCUCCCUAGAGAAGGACCUUAUGUAUGCAGUGAUUCUGGGAAAUUCACUAGCAAAAGUAAUAGUUUUAAUAAUCAUCAGGGAGUUCACACUGGAAAAAGACCUUAUCAGUGUGGACAAUGUGAUGAAUCAUUUUGGUAUAAGGCCCACCUCACUGAACACCAGAGAGUUCACACUGGAGAAAGACCUUAUGAGUGUGGAGAAUGUGAUAAAUCUUUUAGUCAUAAGCACAGUCUUGUUGACCAUCAGCGAGUUCACACUGGAGAAAGACCUUAUGAAUGUGACGAAUGUGGGAAAUCUUUUAGCCAUAAGCGCAGCCUUGUUCACCACCAGCGAGUUCACACUGGAGAAAGACCUUAUCAGUGUGGAGAAUGUGGGAAAUCGUUUAAUCACAAGUGCAACCUCAUUCAGCAUCAGCGAGUUCACACUGGAGAAAGGCCUUUUGAGUGUACGGCAUGUGGGAAGUUAUUUAGGAGUAACUCCCACCUAAAGGAACACCAGAGAGUUCACACUGGAGAAAGACCCUAUGAGUGUAAAGAAUGUAGGAAAUCAUUUAGGUACAAGUCACACCUCACUGAACACCAGAGAGUUCACACUGGAGAAAGGCCAUAUGAGUGUAGAGAAUGUGGGAAAUGUUUUCAUCAAAAGGGCAGUCUCAUUCAACAUCAGCAGAUCCACUCUGGAGAAAGGCCACAUGAAUGUGGAGAAUGUGGGAAAUGUUUUCAUCAAAAGGGCAGUCUCAUUCGACAUCAGCAGAUUCACUCUGGAGAAAGGCCACAUGAGUGUGGAGAAUGUGGAAAGUGUUUUCGUCAAAAGGGAAACCUCAUUAAACAUCAACGAGUUCACACGGGAGAAAGACAUCAUGAGUGUUGAAAAUUUGGCAGAUCUGUUGGUAAAAAGAGCACCCUCAUUCAACAUUCGUGAGAUCACACUGGAAAGCGCUUAUGAGUGUGGAGAAUGUGCAAAAUCAUCUAGCCAAAAGGUUGGCCUCAUUCAACAAUAGCAAGAUCACACUGGGGAAAGGCUUUCUGAGUGUAGAGAAUGUAUGAAAUCCUGUACAUAGAAGUUUUACCUCACUAAAUACCAGAAGGGUCACACUGGAGAAAGACCCUAUAGUUAUGGGGAAUUUGGGAAAUUACCUAACAAGAAGUCCCACCUCACUGAACACUACUGAGUUCACAGUUGAGAAAGGCCAUGACUGUAGGGAAUUUGUAAAAUUAUUUAGCCAGAAGAGCUGCAUUACUAUUCAUCAGAUAAUUUACAAUGGAGAAAGGCCACAUAAUAAUUUCUCACAUAAUAAAUGUGAGAAAUCAUUUCCACACAGCUCUGUGCUCCAUGUUCGUAAGAGUUCACACUGGACAAAGCCUUAUGAGAGCAGCUAGUAGAAAAUCCUUUGUGGGAAAACUCUGGUUUCAUUAAACACAGGAGAGUUCAUGCUAGAGAAAGGCCUCAACAGUGUAGCAAAUAUGGAAAGACAUUCACUAGAAGCUCUGCCCUGCAAGUUCACACUAGAGAAAGCCCUCAGUGAAGUAAAUUUGGAAAAUUGAUUAGUCAAACCUUUAUGCUCCUUCAAAAUCAGAGUUCACACUGGAUCAAGGCUUUAUGGUGUGACAAAUAUGGCACAUUCUUUAUCUAAAUGUCUAACAUAUUAUGCACAGACAAGCUCCUGCUGUGGAAGUGCCUUUUGAGUGCAGAGCAUUUGCGAGGGCUUCACUCUUCUUUCACUGGAUACCAGAAUGUUGACAGGAGAAAAAUAACAUAGAUGUGUGGGAAUAUUACUUCUUGUCCAGUGUAACUGUGGGAGAGAGCCCUUAUGAGGACACCAUCAACCUAUAUUGAAUGUCAUAUGUCCAAUAGCUGCAUAAAUUCCAGGUAUAUGGGAGCUGUAUUGCAUUUCUUAUCCUGCGUAUGUCCUUGCCAGAUUUAUUUCAUUCUUAGGUCUCUGGCAAAAGCCAUUUCAUCUCUACCACUUGGCAGGUACCUACAGUGCAUCACUCAUGCACUCCAUCAUAUUCCAGAAAAAAAGUUCAAGUUGUCUCCCAUUCAGCAGUGGGAUUUUUGAGUAGCCUCUGCACUCGUUCCUUUCUCAUUUCUCUAUGAAGAGUUGGGCCAUGGACCUGACUCAGUUCUGGCCUAGAGCAGAAGUGUCCAAUCUUUUGGCUUUCCUGGUCCACAUUGGAAGAAGAAUUGUCUUGUGCCGCAUAUGAAAUACAUUAAUACUAAUGAUAGCUGAUGAACUUUUUUAAAAAAUCACACAAAAACCCUCAUAAUGUUUUAAGAAAGUUUACGAAUUUGUGUUGGGCUGCAUUCAAAGCUGUCCUGAGACACAUGCGGCCCACAAGCUGCGGGUUGGACCAGCUUGGCCUAGAGAAUUUUUCUGAUUACUUGACAAGAUGGGCUGUCUUUCCUAGGAAUCUCAUGAUUGUCAUGAUUCUUAAAAUGGAAUUUUCCAGCCUCUAACUCACCAACCCAAGUACAAGCUGCCUCUCAUUAUUCUAGUUUCUGCUAUGAUGAAGUCCUUAUUUAAGCUUCCUUCAAUCUUGGGAAUUGUAUUGACUGUAUUGUGUGAAUUGUAUACUCACUGCAUUGUGUGUCUUAGAUACAACAUGGUUCUGGUACCAUGAAGGAUUCUGGUACCAUGAAAGUUUGUUGGGGUUACUAAACUGUGUGACUCUUAGGGAACAGUAUGAAGGCAGAAUAUAGCUCUGCAUUUGUGGCCUAGUUUGGAUGGCUGCCUGAGGCCUCCAAAUAAAGACUUCAGGGCUUUGUGAUCUUUAUUUUUAGAUGAAAUAGUGCAAUAAUAUGUGUUUUCAUAAAUCAACCUGAGUAGGGGACAGUUUUAGUGACACACUUUGGUGCUUCUGAGAACAGCACAAAAUUAUUCUCUUGUUUAUAACGGAUAUUGCAUUCUGCUCAGUACUGGUGAGGGAAAUCUGUUCUCAAGUCCUACAGUGCAUUCAUGUGUCCUGAAGUCCAGAAUUCUGUAGGAUAGUGUCCUACAUUAUAAGCCUGGAGGAAGAAAUCAUAAUUCUUUAAUUUUUAUUUUUUUAGGGACAUGAUGUCACUCUGAAACUCAGGCUGGAAUACACUGGCAUGGUCAUACCUCACUGCGGCCUCAAACUCCUGGGCUCAAGUGAUCCUCCUGCCUCAGCCUCCCGAGUACCUGAGAUUAGCCCAGAGCAGUGUGACCUUUGAAGACGUGGCUGUAAACUUUUCCCUGGAGGAAUGGAGUCUUCUUAAUGAGGCUCAGGGAUGCCUGUACCAUGAUGUGAUGCUGGAGACCCUGACACUUAUAUCCUCCCUGGAAAGGGUGCACUCGCCAGCAGUUUUGCAACAGGAGCACACUGAACAAAGAAGACAGGGUCAUUUAUAACCUGAGGCGUUCACCCUCCUGCCGGUUUCCAUUGCCUGGAACAGGACCUCAUAUUCUGUAUGUGUCCUGAUUGGCUAGCAACUUAGAACCUUUUAAAAGAGGCAAAGGUAGAGGAGAACAAAGAAAGGAGGAAGUAACUUGUGGAAUGCUGAGAAAGGUAAAAACACUUUUAAAUAAGGAAGAGGAACAGGCUAUGACCUAAUGCUUGCUUGGAGCAGUAUAAGCAUGUCAGGGCAAAUAUUUAGGCUAAAUUGUCAGAGCUAAGAACAUAAAGUACAUUGAUUUCUUUAUUAUGGCUAGCAGAUAUUUAAGAAUGCUAGCACAAGUCUUUCAAUAAAUUUCGCUUUUAAGAGAAGUUACUAUUUAUUCCUAAUUAGAUGGGGAGGAAAGUCUUUGAAGAGGAACCUGUACUUUACUUUUAACAAUAUUCCCCCUCUUUUUAUUUCAUAAUUCCUCUUCAAACUUAUUUAAUGUUUUGACUUAAUUGCUUUUUUUGUCCUUCUAAGAGAAGUAAUUUUUUUUUGAAUAGGGAGGAGGAGAGUUAGCAGUUAACUCUGUAACAGUGGCAGAGACAAGUUUUUGUAUAAAACUUUGAAGGUAGGGAAUAUUAUAACAGCCUACAAGAAUAAGUACACUAAUAACAAGAGUGAACAAGGUGAGAAUUGAAGUUAAAAUUUCUUUUUAUUCACUGAACUAAUGUUUUAUUAUUUUAGAAAAGGGGUUAUUUAUUUUACAAUUCUUGGCAAAUUUAUCAGAUAGGGCUGUUAACCUUGGUAGCGCUUUUGUUAUAGUUCUAUCAGGGGCAGUAUUAUUAGGAACAAAGGUACAAUACUGAGUUUUGUAUUAAACAUUUAAUUUAUUGGUCUUUGUGGGGAAUUAGACGCAUUACCACUCUGUUACAACUGAGGCAUUAAUUUUGUAGCUUCACCAACAUUAAUUGGUUUGCUUUCAUGACACUGAGGAAUCAAUUCUUUCUGCAGAGGUUCUGAGUUUUAAUUAUGACACAAACAUCUCCUUUUUCUGCUAAUUAUUUAAAGCUAUUUUAUUUUUCUACGCCAUCUGGCUAGUAGAUCCUAAUUGCUUAGCUAUCUGUUUGAUGGUAUCCUCAGUGUAAUUUAUGAAUUGUUGGUGAUUGUAACAUAGCUUAGUCUACAUUUUUUUAUAGUUACCAGAAUGAUGUGGAUUUAAAUUCUGCAGCUAUUUGAUUUUGUGCUUUAAACUUAUCGGGCACUUCUCACAGGACCUUAAUAGCAUUUAUGUAAACCUGAGGAUUAAAGGACUCAUACGUUUUUCUUGGCCUGUGGUGUUUUGUUUUUACCUUUGUAGAUUGAUGAAAUGCCAGGAUGAAGGGGAUACCCAAUUGGAUUACAGCACAAGUACUGCUCCAGUUAUUUGGCAGAGUGUCCAGUAAAGGUCUUCCACUUACCACUAUACAUUUGUUUGGGGAUGGCUAAGCAUGGACUGAUGGGCAAGGUCUUGGAAAGGCUUGAGCUCUUUGCAUCGUUUAAUGCUUCCAAGGAACACUAAAUUUUCCUCCUGACCUGAGAUGCACAAAGUAAACUUUGUGCAUUCAGCAUUCAGCAUUCAGAGGUGGAAGCCGGAUUGCCGUAGGGGGCUGACCUGCAGGGUGUUAAAUUUCAGGAAAUAGCAGAGAGAGCUCAGUAUGUUGGAUUAUCCCAAGCAGUGGGAUUUGGAAAAGAGCCACCAUACAGUCCUUAUCUGAGUGGAAAGGGGAUAAUCUGGGAUUCUGGCCUACUGUGCGUACAAGUGUAAUAAUCGCUUUUAUUUGAAGUGCUAAUGGAUUAUUUAAUCCAUUUCAGCCAGGCAUUUGCAUCUUGAUAUUUUGUCUUGACAGCGAAGGUCUGUCUUAGAUCUCUUAUUUUUACAAGACACCUUAGUUUUACCAGAUGUAGGAGCAACUGGUGUGGGAUCUAGAUCUGAGGCAACUUAAGAAGGGAAAGAUGAGGGAAUAAUGUGUAUUUUUAAAAUAACUGGGGGGUCUUUUUUAUUUAUGUUAAUUUUUUUUUUUUUUUUUUUUUGAGACAGAGUCUAGCUCCGUCACCCAGGCUACAGUGCAGUGGCACGAUGUCAGCUCACUGCAACCUCUGCCUCCCGGGUUCAAGCAAUUCUCCUGCCUCCGCCUCCCAAGUAGCUAGGAUUACAGGCACCCACCUCCGCGCCCAGCUAAUUUUUGUAUUUUUAGUAGAGACGGGGUUUCACCAUCUUGCCCAGGCUGGUCUCAAACUCCUGACCUCAGGUGAUCCACCAGCCUCGGCCUCCCAAAGUGCUGGGAUUACAAUCAUGAGCCACCACGCCCAGCCUACUUAUGUUAAUUUUUAUACCAUAGAAGCGACUAAGGGUGUGUCUAGAGUUCGUUAAGGUGGAGGUGGUGAUAAAGAGAAAGACAGGGUUAUAUUGACAAGGCUGACAGUAAGAAGGGGUAGUCCUUUUAAUGAAAUAGAUGAGGGGUUUUAGGUCUGCACAAACCUUUUUGUGGAAGUCUAACUUUGCUAUUGGGUAGUUUGAGUGAUGCAGUACUAUUUACUACAAUGUUGCCAGGUGGUAGGAGCAGAAAAUUGGUGUCUUGGCUGCAGGUCAUUACAACAAUGAGUGCUAGGAAUAACUGUGUCAAUUAAAGGGCUGGGAUAUAAAUAUUUGUGUGAAAAGGCUAGCUGCUGUUGAUCUUUUACAUUUCUACAAGGUAUGACAAAGCAAGCAUUAAAGGCAAUAGUCUGAGUGAGUCAGACUUAGUUACAUUAAUAACAAAGGAGCUAAUAACAGAAUAAGAAAAGGAAGCAAUAUAGAAGGUAUAUGAAAAUUAAUCUUUCUUUAACUUAGUAGGGCUUGAUCCUAGUACAGUAACCCAUGAUUCUGAGAGGAAGAUGUUUUCUUGACUUGAGUAUGGUGGGUCCAUUUUUUUUUUUCCUCAGCUGUGUGGACGGCAGUCUCAGGGGUUAACAGAAUAAAAUAGGGUUCUUCCCAGGCUGGUUUGAGUUUUUUCUUUCUAGCUUUUGAUGAGGACAUGGUUUUCAGGCUGGUGCUGGUGUACUGGAAAUUCUAGGGGUGGUACCUGUGCUAAAAGACUUUUAGGUCCGAGGGAAGUGAAAGUGGAAGAUAAAUUAAGUAUAGGAUUUUUGCUGCAUAUUCUGGGGCCUUAGGCCUCAUGGUGACACCUCCUGCUCCAUUCUUGUUCAGCGCCACCCAGGGGAGGCUGCAGCCCUGCCCCUUCUUAAUGUCUUGGCCUUCUUGUGGCCUUCACCACCCUUGCUCACUGUGGCCUUCAGGAUGAGGGGCCUUGUGACUUACCUGGCCAUCUUAGGGCCUUAAGAAAGCUAAAUACCAUUGUAUAUUUGUCAAUUUUUUUGUAUGAUUUUUAUAUCAAAUAAGUUAAAUUUUAUCUUUAGUGGCCAGGCGCGGUGGCUCACGUCUGUAAUCCCAGCACUUUGGGAGGCUGAGGCGGGUGGAUCACCUGAUGUCAGGAGUUCGAGACAAGCCUGGCCAACAUGGUGAAAUCCCGCCUCUACUAAAACUAAAAAGUAAAUAAAUAAAUAAAUUUAUCUUUAUAUUAAUAUGCUACUAAUGUUAAACUUAAUUUUAGUAAGAUCUUAUAGACAUUAUUUAUCUAAUUUUAAUGUCUGACUAUAAGGCAAGACUUUUAGACUCUUUUUAUAAUUUUUGUUAAAGAGCACGUUGGUGCUUUAAGAAAAAUCUAUCGUGCUUUAAUUUUAACGUCCAGUUCACAGAAAAACUGGAUGACACCCUUUUAACUUUAGCCAAUAUGUUUACACACAGAAUUUGAUACCCUCUUAACUUUAGCCAGUAUGUUUACACACAGAAUUUCCUUGACAAUUAACAUUUUAAAACUUGCUUAAACCUUUAAAACAAAAAAAUUGUCUUAACCUUUAGUGUAGGUAAAAAUCCAUAUUCUUAUGCCUCCUUGUAAUCUUAUUAAAAGUAUAUUUUAUUUUUCUUACAUACCUUGUAAACUGUUUAAUAAUAAUUUUACAUCCAGGAGGCCUAAUUACUUUUAAAUUAUACAGUAUUUAUUGCAUACAUUCCCUUUUAUAGCUUUUCUUACGACUUUCACAAUCUUCAACAUGUCUUAACUUUCUGCCUUCCUUUUACACUAUUUUUUUCCUCGUUUCACCUCCUUUGUCUUCUUUUGAUUUCUGUCUCUUCCAGUUUCUCUCUUACUCUUUCCUUCUAUUUCUUUCUCUCAUUUGCACUCUAUUUUCCGCUCUCUCAUCCCGUUUCCCUUUCUUCCCCGGACUUCUCCCGCUCCUGCCGCAAGCAGGGCUGGGCCACCGCACAGGCCCCGCCCCCGACCCCGCGCUGCUGUUUUUCUUUUUUUCCCCCUGAUUUCCCCUCUUACUUUUUUUUUUUUUUUUCCUUUUCCUUUUACACUUAGUUUCUUGGGCUGAGUGGGAUUUGCGUGGCUGCAGUCUGGGCCCCGGGCAGUCACUAGCCUAGAGGCUUGGCAGAUAUGCCUGCUGCAAAUUGCAAGAAUUACGCCUUUUCACCUCCUCUGCUCUCCUCCCGGAGCCGGUGCCCACCCUCUUUUUCACAAACCGCAGGGCUGGGGAGAGGGACUUAACCUUUGGCCUGCCUGCCUGGCUGUUUGGCUCUGUGCUUGCUGUUUUUGGUUUCUUUCUCUUCUACUGGUCUUUCCUUUGUCAUUGCCAGCCACCUAUGCUGCUGUUUUCUCCUCUGCUUCCCUCUCCCCUAGGGGAGGGACCGGCAGGAGUGGAGCUACUGUUUCUUUCCCUGAGAAGAAAGGAAAGGGGAGUUCUGAAUAUUUUUCUUACUACUGGAGGUUUGUGUGAGGUUCAACCCCCCCCCCCCCAACAAUAGGGAUUUCUCACCUCUAAGACAUCCUAAGGAAUACUUUACCACCCCUGCGGUUUUUCUCUUUGGUAUGUCCUAACCAAGGAAUGCUUUACCAUCCCGGCUUUUUCCUUAGUCCCGACCACCAAGGAAAUACUUUACCGGCUCCUGCGGCUUCUCCUUCCUUGGUCGGUGCACAGUUGUCAUUCCAUUACAUGAGGAUCUUUAAGCUAGGUUGCUGGCCAGUUUUUUUUUUGCCCCCAUUGCUGAGAGUCCAGGUUUAUUCGUCACACCGGGUGGGUCUCAAUUUCUUACCUAUGAGGACCUUGCAAUGAAGUAGGGGAGCGCUACCCCAUGAGAGAGGACUGGAGACCGCCCCCAGAGAAGAAUGUAUCCCCGUACGGAUUGCCACCAAAUUGUUUGAAAUGCUUGUUCUCCGGUGCCAUAAAGAAAUAGCACUUGAACAUAAAUUUAUUUAGUAAGGCCAUUUUUACUUCCUGCAGAAAGGGUACACUCAGCCAGCAGUUUUGGCACGAGAGUACACAACUAAGGAUAUAGGGUCAUUUAUAACCUGACGCGUCCACCCUACUGCUGUGUCCGGUUUCCACUGGCUGGGAUGGGGCCUCACAUUCUGUAUUUGUCCCGACUGGCGAGCAACUUAGAACUUUUUUUUUUUUUUUUUUUUUGAUGGAGUCUCACUCUGUCGCCCAGGCUGGAGUGCAGUGGCAGGUUCUCAGCUUACUGCAAGCUCCACCUCCCGGGUUCACGCCAUUCUUCUGCUUCAGCCUCCCAAGUAGCUGGGACUACAGGCUCCUGCCACUGCCUGGCUAAUUUUUUGUAUUUUUCCUAGAGACGGGGUUUCAUGUGUUAGCCACAUGGUCUUGAUAUCCUGACCUCUUUACCCGCCCGCCUUGGCCUCCCAAAGUGCUGGGAUUACAGGCGUGAGCCACCACCCCCCACCACCGCCCAGCCAAUUUAGAACCUUUUAAAAGAAGCAAAGGUAGAUGAGAACAAAGGAAGGAGGAAGUAACUUGUGGAAUGCUGAGAAAGGUGAAAACACUUUUAAAUAAGGAAGAGGAACAGGCUAUGACCUAAUGCUUGCUUGGACCAGUAUAAGCAUGCCAAGGCAAAUAUUUAGGCUAAAUUGUGGGAGCUAAGAACAUAAAGUACGUUGAUUUCUUUAUGACGGCUAGCAGAUAUUUAAGAAUGUUAGCACAGGUCUUUGAAUAAAUUUUGCUUAUAAGAGAAGUUACCAUUUAUUCCUAAUUAGGGAGGAAAGUCUUUGAAAAGGAACUUCUACUUUACUUUUUACAGUUACUAUGAGGAUCACUAUAUCAAUGUUUCUUAAUUCAUAUGCUAAAGUGCACUCAAUUUUUUUUUUUUUUUUUGAGACGGAGUCUCGCUUUGUCGCCCAGGCUGGAGUGCAGUGGCGCGAUCGCCAAUUGCCGCUCAAUGCAAGCUCUGCCUCCUGGGUUCACGCCAUUCUCCUGCCUCAGUCUCUGGAUUAGCUGAAACUACAGGCACCCACCACCACGCCUGGCUAAUUUUUUGUAUUUUCCCUAUAGAAGGCGUUUCUCCAUGUUAGGAUUAUCUCGAUCUCCCGACGUCGUGAUCCGCCUGCCUCGGCCUCCCAAAGUGCUGGGUUUACAGGCAUGAGCCACCACGCCCUGCCCUCAAUUUCUUUUUUCACAUUGACAUCUAUCUCAAAGGAAGAGCAACUUAACCAAUGUCUUUGUGGUACACAUCAGUGGCUACAACUUUCACAAUUACAGCACAGAUAAAAAAGGCCAUCUGAAUGACAGCAUAAACAUGGCAUCUGAGCUCCAAAAUUUCAUCUCCUUACAAGAAAGUGGUUAUUAUUUUCCAGUGACUGCAGGAAUAGUUUCACACUGGGUACUGGGAUUAUCUCAGAAUAAAUGUUUUUGUUUUAUUUUUUUUGAGACAGCGUCUAACUGUCGCCUAGGCUGGAGUGCAGUGGUGUGAUCUCAGCUCACUGCAACCUCUGUUGCCUGGGUUCAAGUGAUUCUCCUGCCUCAGCCUCCUGAGUAGCUGGGAUUACAGGCAUGUGCCACCACGCCUGGCUAAUUUUUGUAUUUUUAGUAGAGAUGGCGUUUCACUAUGUUGGCCAGGCUGGUCUCAAACUCCUGACCUCAAGUGAUCCACCCACCUUGGCCUCCCAAAGUGCUGGGAUUACAGGCGUGAGCCACCACGCCUGGCCUCAGAAUCAAUUACAGGCGCAGUGGCUCACGACUCAGGCCUGUAAUCCCAGCACUUUGGGAGUCCAAGGCAGGCAGAUCAUUUGAGGCCAGGAGUCUGAGAUGAACCUGGUAACACGGCAAAACCCCAUCUCUUCUAAAAAUCAAAAAACAGCCAGCAUGGUGGCUCACGCAUGUAAUCCCAGCUAUGUGGGAGGCUCAGGUGGGAGAAUCGCUUGAACCUGGGAGGUAGAGGUUGCAAUGAGCCAAAAUCACGCCACUGCACUCCAACCUGGUCGACAGUCUUUAAAAAAAAAAAAAAAAGCAGCCGCA